rnacentral:rRNA from 1 species
AGAUUGAACGCUGGCGGCAUGCCUUACACAUGCAAGUCGAACGGCAGCACGGGGGCAACCCUGGUGGCGAGUGGCGAACGGGUGAGUAAUGCAUCGGAACGUGCCCAGUAGUGGGGGAUAACUAGUCGAAAGAUUAGCUAAUACCGCAUACGACCUAGUGGGUGAAAGGCGGGGGAUUCGCAAGAACCUCGCGCUAUCGGAGCGGCCGAUGUCUGUAUUAGCUAGGUUGGGACGGGGUAAAAACGCCCACCAAGGCUUCGAUCAGUGCGUGGUCUGGAGAGGACCGUCCAGCCACACGUGGGACUGAGACCACGGCCCAGACUCCGUACGGGAGCAGCGAGGUGGGGUAAUUUGGACAAGUCGGGC